rnacentral:rRNA from 1 species
UACGUAGGGGGCAAGCGUUGUCCGGAUUUAUUGGGCGUAAAGAGCGUGUAGGCGGCCUGGAAGGUCAGCUGUGAAAACUCGGGGCUUAACCCCGGGCCUGCAGUGGGUACGGGCAGACUAGAGUGCGGUAGGGGAGACUGGAAUUCCUGGUGUAGCGGUGAAAUGCGCAGAUAUCAGGAGGAACACCGGUGGCGAAGGCGGGUCUCUGGGCCGUAACUGACGCUGAGGAGCGAAAGCGUGGGGAGCGAACAGG